rnacentral:rRNA from 1 species
UACGGAGGAUGCGAGCGUUAUCCGGAUUUAUUGGGUUUAAAGGGUGCGUAGGCGGAAUAUCAAGUCAGCGGUAAAAAUUCGGGGCUCAACCCCGUCCGGCCGUUGAAACUGGGGGCCUUGAGUGGGCGAGAAGAAGGCGGAAUGCGUGGUGUAGCGGUGAAAUGCAUAGAUAUCACGCAGAACUCCGAUCGCGAAGGCAGCCUACCGGCGCGCAACUGACGCUCAUGCACGAAAGCGUGGGUAUCGAACAGG